CCUACGGGUGGCAGCAGUGGGGGAUAUUGCACAAUGGGGGAAACCCUGAUGCAGCGACGCCGCGUGUGGGAAGACGGUCCUCUGGAUUGUAAACCACUGUCCCCAGGGGCAAAGAUGACGGUACCUGGGGAGGAAGCCCCGGCUAACUACGUCCCAGCAGCCGCGUUACUCGGUAGGGAGCACGUGUGUUCGGGAAUUACUGGGUGUAAAGGUACCGUAGGCGGGAUGGAAAGUUGGGUGUUAAAGCUACCGGCUAAACUGGUAGUCGCACUCAAUACUGGUAUUCUGGAGUGAGGUAGAGGCAGGCGGAAUUCCUGGUGUAGCGGUGAAAUGCGUAGAUAUCAGGAGGAACAUCAGUGGCGAAGGCGGCCUGCUGGGCCGUUACUGACGCUGAGGCUCGAAAGUGUGGGGAGCAAACAGGAUUAGAUACCCGAGUAGUC
rnacentral:rRNA from 1 species